UUGGAGGGCAAGUCUGGUGCCAGCAGCCGCGGUAAUUCCAGCUCCAAUAGCGUAUAUUAAAGUUGUUGCGGUUAAAAAGCUCGUAGUCUGAGUUCUGUUCCGGACUGGUCGGGGAGGUCACCGCCCGGUGCUUCCCCGUCAGGUUCCGAACAGCCUCCGCCGCGAGCGGGGGCCAAGCCGGUUCUGCCGGGGUGCUCUUGACCGAGUGUCCCGCGCGGCCGGCCGGUUCACCUUGAACAAAUGAGAGUGCUCAAAGCAGGCUACUCUUGACACUAAAGCCCGAAUGUUAACUGCAUGGAAUGAUGGAAGAUGAUCUCGGUUCCAUUUUGCUGGGUGGUGGGAAUCCGAGUUAAUGAUAAACAGGGACUGUCGGGGGCAUCCGUACUACGACGCGAGAGGUGAAAUUCAGUGACCGUCGUAGGACGAACAACAGCGAAAGCAUUUGCCAAGAAUGUCUUCGUUGAUCAAGAACGAAAGUUAGAGGAUCGAAGGCGAUCAGAUACCGCCCUAGUUCUAACCCUAAACGAUGCUGACCAGCUAUUCGCCGUCGUUAUUCCCAUGACGUGGCGAGACGCCCCCGGGAAACCUCGAGUCUUUGAGUUCCGGGGGUAGUAUGGUUGCAAAACUGAAACUUAAAGGAAUUGACGGAAGGGCACCACCAGGAGUGGAGCCUGCGGCUUAAUUUGACUCAACACGGGAAACCUCACCAGGCCCGGACACCAGAAGGAUUGACAGAUUAAGAGCUCUUUCUCAAUUUGGUGGGUGGUGGUGCAUGGCCGUUCUUAGUUGGUGGAGUGAUUUGUCUGGUUAAUUCCGGUAACGAACGAGACUCUGGCCUACUAACUAGUGGGCGGGUGUUCCGGUAAGGGGCCCCGCCCGACAAUGUCUUCUUAGAGGGAUGAGCAGCGAGUAUAGCUGCAGGAGAUUGAGCAAUAACAGGUCUGUGAUGCCCUUA
rnacentral:rRNA from 1 species